rnacentral:pre_miRNA from 1 species
UUAACUCAUUUUUGUACGGAAUUUGAACGUUUGCCUACGUUUACCACUAGGGGCGCUGUUCCAAUUUCAUACAAAUUUGAGUUA